CCUACGGGAGGCUGCAGUAGGGAAUCUUCCACAAUGGACGAAAGUCUGAUGGAGCAACGCCGCGUGAGUGAAGAAGGGUUUCGGCUCGUAAAGCUCUGAUGGUAGUGAAGAAAGAUAGAGGUAGUAACUGGCCAUUAUAUGACGGUAAUUACUUAGAAAGUCCCGGCUACCUACGUGCCAGCAGCCGCGGUAAUACGUAGGUGGCAAGCGUUGUCCGGAUUUGUUGGGCGUAAAGCGAGUGCCGGCGGUUCAAUAAGUCUGAUGUGAAAGCCUUCGGCUCAAAAGGAGAAUUGCAUCAGAAACUGUUGGACUUGAGUGCAGAAGAGGAGAGUGGAACUCCAUGUGUAGCGGUGGAAUGCGUAGAUAUAUGGAAGAACACCAGUGGCGAAGGCGGCUCUCUGGUCUGCAACUGACGCUGAGGCUCGAAAGCAUGGGUAGCGAACAGGAUUAGAUACCCUUGUAGUC
rnacentral:rRNA from 1 species